rnacentral:tRNA from 1 species
GGUGGCUCAGUGGUAGAACGCUUGCCUUGCAUGCAGGAGGCCCUGGGUUCAAUUCCUCAGCACCA